AAUUGUGAUUGGGGAGAAAAUGGAAAUUAGAUAGGGGUUAUGAUAGUAAUUUGUUAUGGAGAGUUUUAUUUUUUUGGUGGAAGUUAGAAAUGGAGAAAAUGUAGUUGGACGUGGUAAUGGAUCAUGUGAAACACGACGAUUUUCGUUUUUUAUUUUUCCUUUCUAUGUAUGGGCUUGGGCCAUAUUAUAUGAGGAAAUCAUUGUGUCUGUGGUGA